GACGUAGGGUCCAAGCGUUUGUCCGGAUUUACUGGGCGUAAAGAGCGCGUAGGCGGUCUAGUAAGUGUGAAGUGAAAUCUCCAGGGCUCAACCCGGAAACUGCUUUACAUACUGCAAGACUGGAGUGAUGAAGAGGUUUGUGGAAUUCCUGGUGUAACGGUGAAAUGUGUUGAUAUCAGGAGGAACACCCAUGGCGAAGGCAGCAAACUGGUCAUCAACUGACGCUGAGGCGCGAAAGCGUGGGUAGCAAACAGG
rnacentral:rRNA from 1 species